rnacentral:lncRNA from 12 species
CUGAAUUUCUGAAUUAAUAUUUUUUCCCUAAAAACCCCAGGAGCACAGCUCGUGCUGUCAGUCAUGCUCCAAUUUUUACACUCGUUUCAGGCAGCUAAAAAAAUUACCAGCUCUGUUCUGAGCGUGUGUCAGAAAUUCUCAUCAAUUAUCUCGUGUCUGAUGGAUGUGCAUGCAAUUAAUAACCUGAUAAAGCUGUUUUAUAUAAAUUAUCAAGCCAAAACAGGAACAAGACCCAAUCUGUGAGCUUGCAGGGAGAAGUUUUUCCCACAAAUUUUCUUUUUUCUGCUGGUUUUUUUUUUUUUUCUGACGAAAAUUUUGACGAAACAUCAAGAAUUCAGGACUCACCCUCAAGCAGCUUACCUUGGAAAAAUCCUGAUGAGGACGGAGUUGAGACAAAAAUGAUUUAAUGAGAAGGAGAAAAUGGGUGGAAAAAUCACUUUUCUCCAGGCUGUGGCAGAACUCCUCUGGGGUUGCUCCCAUCUUUUCCCAUCUUUUCUCAUUUUUUCCCAUUUUCCCCAUUUCCCCCCAUCUUUUCCCAUCUUUUCCUAUAUAUCUUUUCCCAUAUUUUCCCAUCUUCCCCCAUUUUUUCCCAUAUAUCUUUUCCCAUUUUUCCCCAUUAUUCCCAUUUUUCCCAUAUUUUGCCAUUGUUCCCCAUCUUUUCCCCAUCUUUUCCCAUCUUUUCCCAUUUAUUCCCAUUUUCCCUGUAUUUUCCCAUAUUUUCCCAUAUUUUUCCCAUAUUUUCCCAUCUUUUCACAUUUUCUCAUUCCCAUAUUUUUCCCAUAUUUUUCCCAUAUUCUCCCAUUUUCCCCAUCUUUUCCCAUUUUCUCCAUUUUUCCCCAUAUUUCUUCUUUCCCCAUCUUUUCCCAUUUUCCCCAUCUUUCCCCAUUUUUCCCCAUCUUUCCCCAUAUUUUCCCAAUUUUCCCAUCUUUUCCCAUUUUCUCCAUUUUUUCCCAUAUUUCCCCAUAUUUUCCCAUCUUUCCCCAUUUUUCCCCAUCUUUCCCCAUAUUUUCCCAUUUUUCCCAUCUUUUCCCAUAUUUUCCCCAUCUUUCCCCAUAUUUUCCCAUCUUUUCUCAUAUUUUCCCAUCUUUUCCCAUCUUUUCCCAUUUUUCCCAUCUUUCCCAUAUUUUCCCAUUUUUCCCAUCUUUUGCCAUAUUUCCCCAUCUUUUCCCAUCUUUUGCCAUCUUUUCCCAUUUUCCCCAUCUUUCCCCAUUUUUCCCAUUUUUCCCAUCUUUCCCCAUCUUUCCCCAUCUUUUCCCAUUUUUCCCAUCUUUCCCCAUAUUUUCCCAUUUUCCCCAUCUUUUGCCAUCUUUCCCCAUCUUUCCCCAUCUUUUCCCAUUUUUCCCAUCUUUCCCCAUAUUUUCCCAUUUUCCCCAUCUUUUGCCAUCUUUCCCCAUCUUUCCCCAUCUUUCCCCAUCUUUUCCCAUCUUUCCCCAUCUUUCCCCAUCUUUUCCCCCGGGGCUCCUGGCUCGGAGUGUCCCCAGGCCAGCCCAUGCCUGGCUUUGUGUACUCCCUGUCACCAUGGCCACCCUGCCAGGGCCACUUGGGGACAGCACAGGUGGCCCCAGCCCCGGGGAGAGGUUUCCACGGGCAAAGCCAACGUGGGGAACACACCCCAGGUUUGGAAUUUCCACCAGAAUUUCUCCAGCUGGGGUGGCACUGGUGGCAGUCCCAGCUCGUGUCCCUGGUGAAAUUCCCACCAGGAAUCCCCAAAAAUGCAGAGGAACAGCUCAGGGGGACGAGUGUCCUGUGCUGUGCCACCUCUGGUUUUUGGGGGGUUGCCCAGAAAUUUCUCCUUGCUUGCCCUUGACCUCUUCAGCUCUGAAAAUCAUUGCACAAAAAACAGAGGAAGAAAACCCAGAAAACUUAAACAGACUCCAUAAAAUAAACCCAGCUAGCUUUGCAGUCUUUCCUUUGGUGUUUAAUUUUAGAACAUCCUGGAUCAACA